UAUAGUUGAUUUGUGCCACUUGACAGGGGGUGUCGAGUUUUGACGUGAGAUGGUGCCACCAUGUAACUUUGGACUUUGGAGUAGUUCAGUUCUUCGGAGUCUUCGAAACUAUUAACUUUACGCGCGUGAAAGUAACGAUACGAAAGUUUUAUUCUUUUGAAAUUCGAGGUCCGCGUCGCGGUUUUAUUGUUCAUCUCACUUUUCCGCGUUACAACGAAUCGCAGCGCGGCGCAAGCUGCGCGAAAAUGCGCCGAGAAAUCGCGAAAUCUUGUCGCGUGCGCGCGCGAAAAGGAAUACAUCGGUACGAUUCAUUUGAGGUUAUUUCUAUUUGCGAGGAAUAUUCUCCAAUCUGAAUCAAAAGGGGAAAUUACCGGAGAAGAAACGAAACCGAAGGAAUGGAGAAAAUGUGGAUGCCACGAAGGAAAAAGUGCACUGGAAGCUUGGCGAACGGGAGCGAGGUUGAGAAGAGAGAAUAAGGGGCAAGUUGAGAGGACGCUAGAUUGCAUCUACCAAACUCCGCUUCGAGUUCGUGUUUUAUGAUUCGUUAUAAGAAAAGGGACUCAAGGGAAAAGUUCACUUUCUCUGAACAUUCACCUGCAGGAUGCCGGAAGUCGCCUUGAGGCACGCGUAUAGAAACAUUCCGUUAAUCGUAACGGGUAUACAAAUGCUGCACAGUACGGGAAUGCAGGAGACAUCUCAACACUGCCGAGUAAUUACUCUAAAUGGUGUAGACGGCGGUAUUCCGUACACGUAAUGCGUCGCAUUUCGAGAAAGAGAGAGAGAGAGAGAGUGAGUGAGAGAGAACAAGGGAGUCACAUUUUGCCAGUGGAACGUAUAUUAAAUGAAAGGACGCAUGACACAAAUAAUGUUUGUAAUAGGGAAGGUGCUUUAAAGCGAUGUAAUAUAUGGGAUAAUGUUUCACGAGUCGAACAAGAGAAAGCUCAAAGCGAUGGUUUAGUUACAAUUACGUGAAUAUGCAGUAUUGACCGCAAUGCAGGCAUAUCAAAUUCAUUUUAUUAAAUGCCGACAUCGCAAAUCUAAUAUUAUAUUAAUGAAUAUUAAUAUCAAGAGAAGUUGAUACUGACUGUAAUAAAUUCCGCAUUAUUAAUACAUUAGACGUAACUCUGGUUAAAGUUACGAAAGAUAUACUGAUUUUUGCAAUGACGGUAUGCAGUAAAUGAAGUUGAAAAGUGCUGUAGAAAUAUUAUUCUAAAAGGAAACUAUAUAUAAUAUAUUAUUCUCCGACCAUAAAAUAUAAUUCAUAUGUAAUCGUAACAUAUAUCUAGUAAUUCAUGAAAAAUUACACAAUCUUGAUAUAAUUUCAUACAUCAGACAUGCGAAAAUAAUUUCCAUAUUUUCUGUAUUCGUAAUACUGGAGACGUGACGAUUUAUAUAAAAUAAAUAUUUCUACAUCCGUAGCAUAAAAAAUUAAAUUUAAUGAAAUUACAUUGGUUUCAAUUUUUGGUACGAAAAAUGUCGACUACAAAAGCUCUA